AUGGCGACCGGCGCACGGGUGAGUAACACGUAUCCAACCUGCCGAUGACUCGGGGAUAGCCUUUCGAAAGAAAGAUUAAUACCCGAUGGCAUAGUUCUUCCGCAUGGUAGAACUAUUAAAGAAUUUCGGUCAUCGAUGGGGAUGCGUUCCAUUAGCUUGUUGGCGGGGUAACGGCCCACCGAGGCAUCGAUGGAUAGGGGUUCUGAGAGGAAGGUCCCCCACAUUGGAACUGAGACACGGUCCAAACUCCUACGGAAGGCAGCAG
rnacentral:rRNA from 1 species